UACGAAGGGGGCUAGCGUUGCUCGGAAUCACUGGGCGUAAAGGGUGCGUAGGCGGGUCUUUUAAGUCAGGGGUGAAAUCCUGGAGCUCAACUCCAGAACUGCCUUUGAUACUGAGGAUCUUGAGUUCGGGAGAGGUGAGUGGAACUGCGAGUGUAGAGGUGAAAUCGUAGAUAUUCGCAAGAACACCAGUGGCGAAGGCGCUCACUGGCCCGAUACUGACGCUGAGGCACGAAAGCGUGGGGGAGCAA
rnacentral:rRNA from 1 species